AGGUUAGGGCUUGGGGCCUCCGUCGGCGGACCUGCGACGCUGGGCGAACGAGGUCGCCGCAGCGCUGACGUACUGUGCUCCGACGUCCUGGGGAAACUCCCCGCCAUUCUCCACCUCGCCCUCCCUCUUCCCGAUCCGGCGCCUAGCUUCGCCGUCCAUCGACGCUAAAGAAAGGAACUCCAAUCUUCAGAGCAAGUAGCGUCCGAGAAGGGUCACCAUCAAUCAGUACAUUAUUCUAGUUACCUUCUAAUUUGAUAAAGGUCGUAUGCCCCUUCGUAUGCUCUUGAUGGUUGGUAAGCACCGUGAAGUGCCUCUCCUUAUCAGCAACAAUUGAGACCAGGAAGAUUCAUCGCCAGAUUUGAGACCAGGAAGAUUCAUUGCCAGAUUUGACUCUUGUGCAUCUCUGUCGUAACUAUCUAAGUUCCUAGUAUGUGCUUACCUCGAUGGCCCGUGUGCUUCCUUGCUUCAGAACAAUAUGGAGCAAUUACCUAACGUCGUGCUUAUAUUUUGUAAAACUAGAAGUGCUCUGGUUGAAUGUGGCACUAUGUAACUAUGUGUUACUGGACAUGUUCACUAAUUCUGUUAUUAAGUGAAACCUGGACCUAUAUAUUUGCUACCAGUGAUGUUCCAUCUUAA